CACUUAAAUUUGAGAUAUUUCAUAUGAAAACAUUUCAUAUAUUAAAUAAAUAUACUUGAUUUUUAAAAAUGAACGAAUCAGACAAGUCCACAAAGACUUUGGAAACAAGGGAAUGCCGUGGCCAAGAGUUACCUGUGACACCUGUGGCUGAUCUGAUGUAAUAAACUCAAGUCAUACAUUUUCGUGGGCUGUUAUUCUGAGAACAGGUGAUAUAUAGUCAAUAUCUUCCUUUAAACAACAUGAUUUAUUGCUUUACAUUUCUUUAACUGCAAGAGCCUGUACAUUCGUUUAUGGCGGUGGAUGUGGAGGUUUGGCGUUCGCAGAUACAAGAAGCGGCAAGGCAACGGCCAGAAGCAGUCCUAAGUAGAGCUUCAUUUUGGUUUGUGUGGUCACUGAAUAC
rnacentral:sRNA from 1 species